AUUUACUCCAGACUCACAGUUUAUUAUGAUCGGUUCGGAAGACGGCAAAAUCCAUGUCUGGAACGGAGAGAGUGGUAUAAAAGUGGCUGUAUUGGAUGGCAAACACACUGGUCCCAUUACCUGUUUGCAAUUCAACCCCAAGUUUAUGACCUUUGCCAGCGCCUGUUCCAACAUGGCCUUCUGGUUGCCCACCAUUGAUGACUGAUCCUGAUGCUGCUGGGCUAUUUAUACAGUGAGGGCGGCCAACAGGAAAAGCCAGAGGUGACUGAGAUGACAGUGAGAUUGAUUGAUCAUUUGACUGGGCUGGAGAACAUCUUUCCACGGGGCCUUCCCAGGGAUGUGCUGUCCAUCGCUCUAAUGAGUUACUUUGCUGAGCACCUUCAGAAGGACUCCUGGUGCUGCAGACUCAGUUGGCGCUCAGCCUUUCCAGCUCUCACUGCGCCAAGCUCUUCAGAGUGUGACUAGACUUAUGAUUAGGUUACAGUGGGGCUCUUGAACCCCUUCAAUUUUGAAUGUACUCGCUGCUGAGGAGCCAGUGAAGUCCCCAC
rnacentral:lncRNA from 1 species